rnacentral:rRNA from 2 species
AGUCGAACGCAUAACUUUCACCGAAUGCUUGCAUUCACCGAAAGUUUUGAGUGGCGAACGGGUGAGUAACACGUGGGUAACCUGCCCAGAAGAGGGGGAUAACACUUGGAAACAGGUGCUAAUACCGCAUAACAAUAAAAACCGCAUGGUUUUUAUUUAAAAGAUGGUUUUGCUAUCACUUCUGGAUGGACCCGCGGCGUAUUAGCUAGUUGGUAGGGUAAAGGCUUACCAAGGCAAUGAUACGUAGCCGAACUGAGAGGUUGAUCGGCCACAUUGGGACUGAGACACGGCCCAAACUCCUACGGGAGGCAGCAGUAGGGAAUCUUCCACAAUGGACGAAAGUCUGAUGGAGCAACGCCGCGUGAGUGAAGAAGGUUUUCGGAUCGUAAAACUCUGUUGUUAGAGAAGAACGUGUGUGAGAGUAACUGUUCAUGCAGUGACGGUAUCUAACCAGAAAGCCACGGCUAACUACGUGCCAGCAGCCGCGGUAAUACGUAGGUGGCAAGCGUUGUCCGGAUUUAUUGGGCGUAAAGGGAACGCAGGCGGUUUUUUAAGUCUGAUGUGAAAGCCUUCGGCUUAACCGAAGUCAUGCAUUGGAAACUGAAAGACUUGAGUGCAGAAGAGGAGAGUGGAACUCCAUGUGUAGCGGUGAAAUGCGUAGAUAUAUGGAAGAACACCAGUGGCGAAAGCGGCUCUCUGGUCUGUAACUGACGCUGAGGUUCGAAAGUGUGGGUAGCAAACAGGAUUAGAUACCCUGGUAGUCCACACCGUAAACGAUGAAUGCUAAGUGUUGGAGGGUUUCCGCCCUUCGGUGCUGCAGCUAACGCAUUAAGCAUUCCGCCUGGGGAGUACGACCGCAAGGUUGAAACUCAAAGGAAUUGACGGGGGCCCGCACAAGCGGUGGAGCAUGUGGUUUAAUUCGAAGCAACGCGAGAACCUUACCAGGUCUUGACAUCUUCUGACAGCCUAAGAGAUUAGUGUUCCCUUCGGGGACAGAAU